rnacentral:rRNA from 1 species
UACGUAGGGUGCGAGCGUUAAUCGGAAUUACUGGGCGUAAAGCGUGCGCAGGCGGUGAGCUGUGUCCGAUGUGAAAGCCCCGGGCUUAACCUGGGAAUGGCAUUGGAAACUGGCUCGCUGGAGUGUGGCAGAGGGGGGUGGAAUUCCACGUGUAGCAGUGAAAUGCGUAGAGAUGUGGAGGAACACCGAUGGCGAAGGCAGCCCCCUGGGCCAAUACUGACGCUCAUGCACGAAAGCGUGGGGAGCAAACAGG